UACGGGGGGAGCAAGCGUUGUUCGGAUUUACUGGGCGUAAAGGGCGCGUAGGCGGCGCAACAAGUCACUUGUGAAAUCUUCAGGCUUAACCUGAAGCGGCCAAGUGAUACUGUCGUGCUAGAGUGCGGAAGGGGCAACUGGAAUUCUUGGCGUAGCGGCGAAAUGCGUAGAUAUCAAGAGGAACACCUGCGGCGAAGGCGGGUUGCUGGGCCGACACUGACGCUGAGGCGCGAAAGCUAGGGGAGCGAACGGG
rnacentral:rRNA from 1 species